rnacentral:lncRNA from 1 species
CCAAGAUCCAAAUCCACCUUUUAAGAUAGAUGGUUUUAUCUUUGUUAUCUUAUCUUUACCCUUGAUCCCAGGCUGGCCUGGUAAUUGUUAUGUAGCUAAUGAUGCACUAGAACACCUGUUUCUCCCUAUUCCACCUUCGAUGCAGGAAUACAAACUUUCUGCUCCAUGCCUAGCAUGGUGAUGGUGGUGGAGUAUUGAAGGGCUGGAGAUGGGAGUUGUGGUCUUCAGCCCACUGGAUGAGGUUUUGAACUACAGCUGUCAUCUUUAUUGUGUUAGGUUCUGUUUUCAGAGAUACAGAUUUCAUUUCUAACUCAGACUUCAAUUGAUACAAUCAAGGGUGGUUUUGUGGCAGGGUGUGUGUGUGUGCCCGUGUGAAACCAAACAAAAAUAGAAUGAGAGCUGUGGCUCAAACAGUAAAAGCUAAAGACCAUGACUCCCAACU